GAUGAACGCUGGCGGCGUGCCUAAUACAUGCAAGUCGAGCGAACGGACGAGAAGCUUGCUUCUCUGUUGUUAGCGGCGGACGGGUGAGUAACACGUGGAUAACCUACCUAUAAGACUGGGAUAACUUCGGGAAACCGGAGCUAAUACCGGAUAAUAUUUUGAACCGCAUGGUUCAAAAGUGAAAGACGGUCUUGCUGUCACUUAUAGAUGGAUCCGCGCUGCAUUAGCUAGUUGGUAAGGUAACGGCUUACCAAGGCAACGAUGCGUAGCCGACGUGAGAGGGUGAUAGGCCACACUGGAACUGGGACACGCUCCGGACUCCUGCGGGAGGCAGCAGUAGGGAAUCUUCCGCAAUGGGCGAAAGCCUGACGGAGCAACGCCGCGUGAGUGAUGAAGGUGUUCGGAUCGUAAAACUCUGUUAUUAGGGAAGAACAUAUGUGUACGUAACUGUGCACAUCUUGACGGUACCUAAUCAGAAAGCCACGGCUAACUACGUG
rnacentral:rRNA from 1 species